UUUAAAUAUUUCAGGCUCCUAAUUUCAGCCAAAGCAUCACAAGUUAUUAAUAAAAUCAUCAAAUAUACAAGCUCCAUGAACACUUGAUCAAGUAAUUACUAGAUAUCAAGUGGCAAAAUUCACAAGUUUCCGUGUUGUGCGGCCGUUGCAAGGAGAUAGGAGAAAGGGGAGGGAGCAGAUGGGUGAGGGACUAGGGUUUGACAGCAUUAUAUAUGAUUUUUAUUGGGCUUGGGCUGUGUAUG
rnacentral:lncRNA from 1 species